UAAUUAGAAAAGUUUCACAUAACUUAUAAGUUGAUGCAAAAAUACUGCUUGUUUUAGAUACAUAAAUUAUCAGCAGAAAACGAAUAUAUAUUGCCAACUACAGCGUAGAGUAGCUCAUUGAUAUAGGUGCCAUGUAGCCUGAUGUAAAAACAUUAUGCUAGAUAAUGCCAAACACUGAGAAGUUUUAAUUGUUAUCAAAUGUUAUGAAACAUGCUUUCUUGAAGCCAAAAAACCCUCAGAAACAUACAGAGCCAACCAUGAGCUGUUGUCUGGAUGUCGUCAUCGGAGCUCCACUCCAGGCGGACGCCAGGGUGACCGAUAUUCAUUAGAUGGAUACUAUGGGUCUUCUCCACGACACAGAGACUCAUCAAAUGACCAAAACAUACCUCACCACAGUUCCAGUUCAUAUGCAAAGAAUGAACACAACCCAACGGGGUUUAUGUACCUGAUCUGGAUCGUCUGAAUGCUACACACAGGGCUACAGCUCUUCAACCAGAGGUUACACUAGUCGUGGCCACUCUCCUAACCGCUAUGAAAGUGACCGCCAUAAUCACUCUCCCAGCCCGGGGCGAGUACAUUUCUGAUCUCAUUCACGUCCAAACCAAGCUCAGGUAAACUACAAGUAGAUGACAAUGAGGGUAAAUUGCCACUGACUUCUCCCUAGCCCAGACAGACAAUGAUACCUACCAUGACAUAGUUACUAGUGACGUUACAAGUUUGACUGAUGUAGAGAAGAGAUAUGUCAGUUAUUAUUGAGGACAUUGUAAGUACAUGCUUUUCUUGACACUGGGGUGGAUGUUUCAGUCAUUCAUUAGUGAGGACUUUAGAAUGACUACACCUGCUCUUCGCAAAAAACCCAUUGUAAAACAGUUUAUUCCUCUCACUGGUGUCACAAGUGAUCCCCUUGACUCUGUAAGCUCCAUUUAUGUGACUGCAAAAAUUAAAAGCUAAUAUGUUAGUCAACGUUAUCUUUUAUGUGCAUUACUUUGCAACAUGUGAUGUGCUUGUUUUCUUUGUUUUGGCAACUUUAGCUAUAUGAAGACCCAUUUUAGCCUAAGGACACAAGGUGGGGAGUGAGGUGGACAAAUGUGGCUAAUGAAGACAUGCUACAGGUGUGGACGGUGCUAAGCCAUGAGAGAAAGAAAUCCCUGUUUGACCAAAGAGGAAGAAGCAGAUGAAAUAUUUCCCAAGAAAAUUAGGAAACAGCAUCAAGGGCACAAGCGGGUCCAGCAACUCCUUUUGCCACCUAGAGUAUUGUUUCAUAGGCGAUUCAUAGGCCUCAACCCAGAAAGUGGAACAAAAGCUGCAAAUGCAAAAGUGACAUCAACCAACAAGACGACUUAUGCUAAACACUAGGACAACAGUGAACCUGUAUGUCUCCAUUCUCCUCCUUCAUGAACCAGUGGAAAUUUUAAAAUGGUAAAAUUACACAUUUACACACAAUCAGUUCUCUUACUUUAUCUUUCUCCCUGUCUGUCAUUUUCUCUGCCUGUCCCUGUAUCUGUCCUGUCCAUUUCUAAUAGACAGACCGGAGGACAGCUACAAUGAAGGAAGGUCAGAGAGUGUCUUUCCUUUUCAUCCUGUCCGUCUUUACCUGACAUAAAUGCAGUUAGGAAACUUUGACAUUUGGGUACUUUUGUUUUAGUAAAGAUUAUUUAAUUAAUUGUAUUCAAUGCCAUAUUAUCAUGAUUGUAAAUGUAUCAGUUAUGUUUUUAGAUCCGAGUAUUUUUCACUUUGGUUGCAAUACUUUGACUUCUGUGUAGCAAGCAAACAUUGCUGU